rnacentral:lncRNA from 1 species
AUUUAGCUGUAUUAAAAAAAAUACAAACCUUCGAAAUAUAUAAAUACAGACAAAAAAUAAUAUGUUUAUAUAAAAAUACAAUGUAUCUGAGCGAAUUUGUACAUAAUACAAUGUAUUUGUAUCAUUGUAUGUGACUAAAACUGGUAAAAUUUGGCGCUUCUGAAACAUAAAAACCGGAAUUUUCUCUUGGAGUCAUCGGAAAACCCUCAAAAGCUCAGUUCAGAUGUGGUCCACUCCGUGCUUGAUCGAAACAAAUUGGUUGUUAACUCAAAACGCCUGAUUGACAUCUUCGACUAGUCAAAUCACAAAUUGGGUGUGACUCAACACAUUGAUUCUUUCUCUAUUCUUGUUUGACUUUAUGCAAUUCAAAAAGUAUUGCAGUAUCCGUGUAGAGGAAUCCAUUAUAAUAUCCAACAUAGAAGAAAGCCGCAGUCUCUUUCUUUCUAAUAUAGCAGCAGUACAAACCCAUUGUAAAUAUCCGGCAUAGAAACUAAGCAGUGCAAAUCCAUUACAAUAUCUGGCGUAGUCGAAGAGAGAGAGAGAAAGAAGAAAAUUUCUGUUGGGAUUUUGAGAGAGAAUUGUGUGUUAGUGAAAGAAAGAGAGAGAAAAAAUAUAAAUUGCGUAUUUCACGUCUCAAUUGUAGUAUAUACCAUAAAUAUCUAUUUUGGUAUAAAAUAUAAAAAGUAGCUAUGGAAAAUAAUAUUUUAAAAUAAUUUUGAUUUAUAAUAAAUAUGGUGUAUACCUUACUAUAAGAAGUAAAAUUUCCAUAAGUUUAUAAUGUAGUCUAAGAUGGGAAAAAAUCCCCAAUUUUUACGUUAUUUAUCCAUUGGGCUAAAUGAAAUCCAUACAAGACGGCCCAAAAAGACGCACAACAAAAU